AGCUUAUGGGUCACAUGAGCUCCCAUCUCCAUCUGGUGUGGCUCCACCUCUUGAAUUUUAAUCUUUGUGGAAAGUACAGGCCUCCAGGAGUUCUGUGGAGCAGAGAAGAGAGUCACCUGGUAUGCUGUGAAGAACAGAGAGCAGGAUGAUGUACAGAAUGAGGAAUAACUGAGGAGAGAUGGUCAGCAUCAUUCAAUGUUACAAAGCUCUGGUCUUAUUUUCUCAACUCAGUCAUUCUUCUGCAAUAUACUGGGAAAGACAACA